GAGCUUGCUCCACUGGAAUUCAGCGGCGGACGGGUGAGUAACGCGUGAGCAACCUGCCUUCAACAGGGGGAUAACGCAUCGAAAGAUGUGCUAAUACCGCAUGAGACCACAACAUCACAUGGUGAAGGGGUCAAAGGAGCAAUCCGGUUGAAGAUGGGCUCGCGUCCGAUUAGCUGGUUGGUGAGACAACAGCCCACCAAGGCGACGAUCGGUAGCCGACCUGAGAGGGUGAUCGGCCACAUUGGAACUGAGAUACGGUCCAGACUCCUACGGGAGGCAGCAGUGGGGAAUAUUGGGCAAUGGGCGAAAGCCCUGACCCAGCAACGCCGCGUGAGGGAAGAAGGGUUUCGGCUCGUAAACCUCUGUCCUGUGGGACGAAGGAAGUGACGGUACCACAGGAGGAAGCCCCGGCUAACUACGUGCCAGCAGCCGC
rnacentral:rRNA from 1 species